AAACUAACAAGGAUUCCCCUAGUAGCGGCGAGCGAAGCGGGAAGAGCUCAAAUUUAUAAUCUGGCGCUUUCAGCGUCCGAGUUGUAAUCUCUAGAAGUGUUUUCCGCGUUGGACCGCACAUAAGUCUGUUGGAAUACAGCGGCACAGUGGUGAGACCCCCGUAUACGGUGCGGAUGCCCAAUGCUUUGUGAUACACUUUCGAAGAGUCGAGUUGUUUGGGAAUGCAGCUCAAAUUGGGUGGUAAAUUCCAUCUAAAGCUAAAUAUUGGCGAGAGACCGAUAGCGAACAAGUACCGUGAGGGAAAGAUGAAAAGCACUUUGGAAAGAGAGUUAACAGUACGUGAAAUUGUUGGAAGGGAAACGCUUGAAGUCAGACUUGCUUUUCGGGGUUUACUCCGGUUGGCAGGCCAGCAUCAGUUUUCCGGGGCGGAAAAUCACGGUUAGAAGGUAGCAGUUUCGGCUGUGUUAUAGCUUUCCGUUGGAUACGUCCUGGGGGACUGAGGAACGCAGUGUGCUUUUAGCGAGGGCUUCGGCCCUUUCACACUUAGGAUGCUGGUGGAAUGGCUUUAAACGAC
rnacentral:rRNA from 1 species